ensembl:lncRNA
GGGGAACAGGGUCACAUCACAGCAGUGAACAGCCUGUCAGAAAUCAUAGCACGUAAGCUGUCGUAACCGCAGCUUGUGUACUGCAUCAUCACUGUGUUUGUCACGUGACGCUGUUGCCCUUUUGGGCUUGAACUGAUGGUAAAACUAACGACAUUAUUAACUUUAUAUUUUAUAUAUACUUAAUAUAUAUCUUAAUAUUUACUUUGAAAACUAAAGCUCACGAUUAUGGUACGGGGCAUUACUUUUCCUAUGCAUGCUUGUGGUGUUCGGCCAAUCACAAUGCACUGGGUCAGCUGGCCAAUCAGAGCAGACUUUACUUGUCAGAAGGAGGGGCUUUGUUGAAAACGAUGCCUUGAGAGAGGCGGGGCAUAAAGGAACUACAAUAAUGUACAGUAUUUGAACAUUAAAGCAUGUCAACAUUUUCUGUUACACUAAAUACAUAAAAUAAUGAUCUUUAAAAUAGCAUCAUAUGACCCCUUUAAAUCUUGUCUUUGUUUUUAAUAAAGCACACAUGACUUUUAAAAGCCUUACAGUUGUGGAUGAUGUGAGUGAUCCUGUUCCAUUAAUCUGUAAUAUUUUUUUCUGUAAUAUGAAAAAAAAUAGUUCUGCACAAAUUUUAGAGAUGCACCAAAUGCUUUUUCAGUUUGAUGGGUCUACUCUGUAAUCAUAACUUAAGCUACCCUAAAAACCUCAAGUGUUCAUGGACACUGGAGCAAAGAGAUGUGUACUAUGCAUUCUUUCUAAGAGAGACUUCAUGUGUUGAAACCUUUUAACACUGGGCAACUGUGGUGCUUUUUUCUUUUUAUUUUGAGAAAUGUUAUUUAUUUUAAAGCAAUUAAUUUGGUUAUUUUUUAUUUCUUUUUACUCAGAGAGUGAGGCAAAUAUUAAGUGUUGCUUGUUAUACAAAGAGUUAAUUAAACUCUGUUGUGCUGUAGAUGCUAUAGUAUUUGUUAAAAAUGUUUGAAAACUGUUUUGUCCUUUACAUCUGGUUCAAAUUUCUAGUUAUGAAAUUCUAUUAUUUCAUGAUUCAUUUCUUACACUUAGGAGCUCUUGUCUUCAGUUUCUUCUGUCCUCUAUCCAGUUCCAUCGCUCUUCUAUCCAGUUCCAUCUUAGUUUUAUCCUGUUCCUUUGCUCUUCUGUCCUGUUUCAUCACAUUUUUAUUCAUUUCUAGUCUCAAAGCUAACUCCUUGGUUUAA